rnacentral:rRNA from 1 species
AUUGAACGCUGGCGGCAUGCUUUACACAUGCAAGUCGAGCGGCAGCGCGGGGGCGACCCUGGCGGCGAGCGGCGAACGGGUGAGUAAUGCAUCGGAACGUGUCCCGGAGUGGGGGAUAACCCGGCGAAAGCCGGACUAAUACCGCAUAUGCUCUGAGGAGGAAAGUGGGGGAUCGCAAGACCUCAUGCUUUGGGAGCGGCCGAUGUCCGAUUAGCUGGUUGGUGGGGUAAUGGCUUACCAAGGCGACGAUCGGUAGCUGGUCUGAGAGGAUGAUCAGCCACACUGGGACUGAGAAACGGCCCCGACUCCUACGGGAGGCAGCAGUGGGGAAUUUUGGACAAUGGGGGCAACCCUGAUCCAGCCAUGCCGCGUGCGGGAAGAAGGCCUUCGGGUUGUAAACCGCUUUUAGCUGGGAAGAAAAGGCUUCGUCUAAUACACGGAGUUCUUGACGGUACCGGCGGAAUAAGCACCGGCUAACUACGUGCCAGCCGCCGCAGUAAGAC